AAUAGGCCGGCAAGGGUGGUGAGCUUACACAUGACGAGACAACAAUUAUAAGUGGGGCACUAGAUUUAACUGAGAAGACAGCUGAGGAGGCUAUGACACCCAUUGAAUCAACGUUUUCCUUAGAUGUCAAUUCAAAGUUGGACUGGGAGGCUAUGGGAAAAGUUCUUGCUCGGGGCAUAGUCGAGUUCCUGUCUAUUCUGGGAAUCCGAAGAACGUUAUUGGACUGCUUCUGGUGAAAAGUCUUCUUACUGUACGACCUGAAACAGAGACUCCAGUCAGUGCCGUUUCCAUCCGGAGAAUACCCCGGUUUGCUUAACUCUUCAAUUACUAAUUUUUUAUUUUUCAGAAAAUACAUUCAGUCAGAGUAUCCAGUGUUGAUUUGUAUGUUGUAUACUCAGAGGUCCUGCCGAUAUGCUACUGUAAUGACAAGUGCACAAAAAAUGGACUCACAACAAAGACAAGUGCACAAAGGAUGAUGAAUUGAAGGAUGGAGCAAGUUUCAUGCAUGGUUUACUUUUGUGUAUCUUGUAAUUUUUUGUUUUUCAUUUUUGAAGUAAAAAAUGUUCAAGAUUAUAAUACUUUAUUAUGUUAUGCUUUCAAACUUAAGUUAGAACUAAGAUCUCAUGAAAUAGACACAUUCAGAGUUUGAAUUAGUUAUUGUUUAAUGUAAUACUUAUGGUUUAUCAAUCUAUUGAGAAUUAUAUUUUAU